GACGAACUGUCCUAACGUUGUCCGGAAUCAUUGGGCGUAAAGCGCGUGUAGGCGGCCCGGUAAGUCCGCUGUGAAAGUCCAGGGCUCAACCCUGGGAUGCCGGUGGAUACUGUCGGGCUCGAGUCCGGAAGAGGCGAGUGGAAUUCCUGGUGUAGCGGUGAAAUGCGCAGAUAUCAGGAGGAACACCAAUGGCGAAGGCAGCUCGCUGGGACGUGACUGACGCUGAGACGCGAAAGCGUGGGGAGCAAACAGG
rnacentral:rRNA from 1 species